GGAGCGAUGCUCGAGUGGCUGAAGAGGCACGCCUGGAAAGCGUGUAUGCGCCAAAAGCGCAUCGCGGGUUCGAAUCCCGCUCCCUCCGCAA
rnacentral:tRNA from 1 species